UGUUUUUUUUAAGGAACGACAUUGCUUUUUAAAUUAUACUUUCUUUAAUAUAAAAAAAAUCUUCGGUGAAGCACAAUGAAUGUAUUUUUAAACCCGUUACUCGUAGAGUAAGAGGGCAUUCUAGAUUCGUCGGAAAGUAUGUAUACGCUGAGAUCUCGGAAACUAUAAAAGCUAGAAUGUUAGGACUUGGUAUGUGCAUAGAUUGUAUUUUUCGAAAAUUUCUUUGCACCAAUCCACUAAAAACAAGCCUUUUGAGCGAUUAUCAAUUUUACGGCCUGCUGUUCUUGCAAUAUCGAAUGUAUGCUGGUGGAGCAAAUACCUAAGGAUUCCUCUAUCUCACGGUAUGUCACAUGACGAUCUUGAAUUAUCAGUUCAUUGGCUCAACGACUGUUUUUGGAUGACCUUCUUGACUAUCGUCUUCGAGCUAGAGCUGGAGAACAAUCGAUGGAAACAUCGAUAGUAUCGAUUGUCUCAAAAUUUCGUGAAAGUCGAUUGUUUUUUCUCACUAUCGAUGGUUUUCCUUUUUUUUUUGCCCAUCACUAUGCUUUUCCCAUCACUUUUUUAGCGGGAGUUGGCAAGCGAACAAGUGAAUUAAUAUCUUAAAAGUGGUGGUGUUAGUGCUGGCAGUGGCCUGAAAUGGAUUAUGGACAAGUUUCUCAAAACCGUCCUUGCCACCAGAAAGCUUUUAAAUCCAACCAAUCACACUGCCGCCAAUGUUGCGGAGACAUUACAGGACAUUUUUUUAGAAUGGUCCGUGCUGCACAAGAUUACCACGAUAGUGACGGACAAUGAUGCUACAAUGAAAAAAGCUUGCGAUCUCCUUAAAAUUAAACACCUGCCGUGCCUCGCACAUACUUUAAACUUGCUCGUCCAGGAGGUAUUGAAAGUGCAAAGUUUUUCUUAGAUUAUGAACAAGUGUAAACGCAUCGUAACUUUUUUUAAAAGCAGCACAAUAGCUACUGAAAAGUUUAAGAUAGCGCAGGCCGUAAGUAUGCCAUAUACUUUAAUACAGGAAGUUCCUACAAGGUGGAACAGCGCUUUUUUUAUUAUGGAAAGAAUCAUCAAGACUCAUGACGCUAUUUCCUAUGUUUUGGUAAACACAGCAAAGGCCCCACAGCCAUUUUCAAUUGAAGAAAUUGAGAUUUUAAAAGAACUGUGCGCAAUAAUGUCACUGUUUAAUGAUGCAAGCAAACAAGCCUCAGCGGAUAAAAUUGCUGUUGUAUCAAAAAAUGAAUUUAAUAAAGUGCUCUUCAAAAGCGGCUCAGGAUGCUCAUGACUUGAUCAAAAUUCGCAUCAAAGAACGAUUUUAUCAUUAUAAAUCACGAACUGUCCCUAGAAUUGCGACACUGCUAGAUCCACGCUUCAAAAAGGAAGGCUUUUUCUACCAUCGAAUGCUGAACAAGCUGCUAAGGCUUUGGAGUUGAAGCUCUACGAAAUAUUGUCUAUGAAUUCGAAUGCUAGUUCCACAGCUCCAGCACCACCACAACCAAGCUGGAAGAUGACCAACGAUGAUUUUCAAGCCUUCAAGGUCCUCGCUAAAGAAUAUCUGUGCGUCCCAGCAUCCUCCUGUGCCUCCGAAAGGACUUUAAGUAAGGCAGGACAAAUAAUUUCAGACCGUCGAUGCGCGCUGAAGUCCAAAACUGUAGACCAGUUGUUAUUUAUU